UACGGAGGGUGCGAGCGUUGUCCGGAAUCACUGGGCGUAAAGGGCGCGUAGGUGGCUACUCAAGCCGCGCGGUGAAAGCCCGGGGCUCAACCCCGGGUCGGCCGUGCGGACUGGGAGGCUCGAGCACUGUAGGGGCGGUGGAAUUCCGGGUGUAGCGGUGGAAUGCGUAGAGAUGUGGAGGAACACCGAUGGCGAAGGCAGCCUCCUGGGCUAGUACUGA
rnacentral:rRNA from 1 species